rnacentral:tRNA from 1 species
GGUGGGGUUCCCGAGCGGCCAAAGGGAGCAGACUGUAAAUCUGCCGUCAUCGACUUCGAAGGCUCAAACCCUUCCCCCACCACCA